AAUCUCUUCUCUCAGUGUCGGCACUACUAUUAGUCACGGUGAAUGUUGUGCUCUUGAAGUCUAUAAUUCUUGUUGUUUCUGCCCAAAGGACCUCCAGGUGCCAUGAAUUACUUGACGAAGAAGCAGGGCGUGCUGUUCUACCUCUGCAAGAGAUCUUUCAUGAUGCAGAAGUACAAGGAAUGCUACGCAGUGCUGCACGACGCCUCAAGGAGCGGCCUAGCGCGCCUCGAGCUCCAACGGAUAUGUAUGUCUCGUAACAAACACGUCCUCCUCGUGACCAGGAAAGACAUCAUCAAAGUGUUACAAGAUGAGAAAUGUUCGCAAAGCGAAGGACGCGGGUUUACGCUGACAACCAGAGAACACCAGCACUACUUCCUGGCCAGGAACGUCACGGAUAGCCGGAAAUGGGUUGAGGCAAUCCAGGACACUUUCUUGAAGCCUGCCAUCCGCGUCCAACCCUCGGUCAGCCCUCAACAAGCCACCGUGCAUGAAAACGAGGUCUACGGGAUGGACGAAUAUAGCAAGAAAGAAACGCGAGAAUUCACCGUUGAGGUGGAGGAGAAUAGUCGGCUGAAGCUGAAGGUGAUGAGUAGUACCGUGCGGCUUUUGGUGCAGGAUCGCCACAUCACCCUCAUCUCCAUGGAGGGCAAGAGGAUUGUGCACUGGGCUAUCAGUAACAUGCGAAAAAUUGGCUUCAACACUGACAAUUUCUACCUUGAAGUUGGGAGUAAGAGCAACUAUGGACCGGGUUACUUCGUCUUCGAGACUUCUCAGGGGAAGGAAAUCAAUAAGCUCGUCUCGCAAGAGAAGGGAUACUUGAAGUACCAGAUGAUGCUCUCCAGAGACUCGUACACCCAGAAGCAGACUCCAGGACACGCAAGGGCGCUGGCUCGACCGUAUGAUUCUCACCCAGCACCCACAGCAAGCUCACCGCCAGACGGAGCCUCGACAGCUUCUUACGAGUCAUACCCCUUAGAGGACUUAUAUGAUACCAUCACACCCAGGACUUCUAACUGCGAGGAUUUGCAGGGACAGGGUCGCAAUGUUUCCAAAGUUUCCACCACCCACUCCGUUAAGAGCCUGGACCGACACAUUCAGUCAACAAAACAAAGACAAACUGCUCCUUACACCAAGAUAUCAAGCCAAAGCCUCAAGAUUUUAAGUACCAUGAAAAAUAUUAAGUCCCUUCCUACCCACCCAUUAACAGCGGAUGCUAUCCGUGGUUUGCAGGCUUCUUCCGAGUGCCCCGAGUCUGACGAUCCCUAUUCUAACAUGGAGAGAAUCGAAGACGCCUGGAAGACUCACGGCUACACGCCAGACGAGCCCAUGGAGGGAGAAGACGAGGGUAGUUACGACGUGUUAUCAUACAGGCGGCCGGUACAAAACAUGGAACUCCAUGCGGCCACAGGCUACGGCGAGAGGGUGCAGGUCAACGAGUCAGUCUAUGCCCGCGUCGACUUGGGGAAGAAGAAACAUCGUACUGCAUCCGCUGACGACCAAUGACGCUGAAAGUUACCGAAUGUCCAGCCCAGCGUGGCGGCGAAGCAGACCAACAGAAAUUACCCGGGGCAUAGCUCUCCUUAGACUCUGCUACGCAGUCCACUGUUCGGCACCUCCUACCCCAAGAUCUGCCGCUGAUGCUGUCUGUCGCCAUAUUCUGGUGCCCGAUUUUCUCGAUGAGGUUCUUAAAGUUAAAUAUGCUAGUUAGUUGUUCUCAGAUUAAUUUAUUCUAAACUGUUUUACUCUUUUUAAUGCUACGCUUGAUUUCCGUGUUUGUUGUAAGAAAAAUAUGCCUUUCUUCAUCGCAUUUCUUGGGUGGAUUAAAACUUCCUGUUUAAUAAUAAGUACUUACUAUAGAUGUCUUAUUAUUAGUCGUGUUUAGUCUUGAUAUAACGCCAUUAAAAUGUUAAUCAUUACUCAUCGCCUCACUAAGGACCAUAUUCUGAAGCACCUCUGCUUCCAAUCCCACUACCUGUCAAAGGGGCUAGUUGAGGAAGCGGGUUUUUACGGAUGCAGUGAUAGAUUUCUGUGUCCUUUGGUAAUGAUUGUGAUGAAAAAGCAAAGCCCUUCAGAAUGCGGGCCUAAGCUGGAUGCUGGGCACCUGUUCGCUGCCAGUUUUUUUUUUUUCUUCAUUUAACGACGCAAGCAGUUACGCGGCUUAAAUAAUGCAACACUGUAAUCUUUAUGUUCACACCUUACUGUAAGUAAAUACUGCACUAGACUCUCUCUCUCUCUCUCUCUCUCUCUCUCUCUCUCUCUCUCUCUCUCUCUCUCUCUCUCUCUGUUUUUAAGUACAUUUAUACUGGACAUAUAACAGUAAAAAAUAACCAUGAUUUUAUGAGUAUCAUGCUCCAUCAACGCGAAUGUGAUACACAGUGGUAAAUAAUAAUAACAAUAAUAAUAAUAAUAAUAAUAAUAAUAAUAACAAUAAUAAUAAUAAUAAUGUAAAAUAAAGUAUCAAAAAGUGCCUAGCUUGUGGGUGUCUCGGGUUAUGAUUCUUCGAAACCCUUGAGAAACCAGCAAGACCCCAAAACAAGAAUAACUAGUGGUGGUUCAGUGUCUGGCUGUGGUUGCUGCCUUCAAGUCUUGCAGCGGUACCAUAGUACAUAUCCUCGUUGUGCAGACAGGAACACAAGCAGUCAGUGUGACUGGGAUGAUGUAACAAUGGACAUCAGGAGACUACAGUGAAUGCCCACAAUCCAGCACAAUUGAAGAUGAUGUGCUGGUGAAAAUGUGUUCUUCUUAGCCAUGGAAUGGAAGGCCCAGUUUACAGACGUCUUCCAGGCAUUGGCCAACGCCUCGUCAAACUUGGAGCGGAAAUGGUCUCUUGCUUCGUCCUCGGACAAGUCAAGUUUCUGAAAAGGAAGCCCAGUGGAGAUCAUCAUGGCAAAGAGCGAGAUGAUGAAGGACCCAUACUUCCUCAGUAUUAGGAAUGCCUGCAAGAUGAGUAUCCUUUGAAUUGCUCAAACUCUUCUGACCGCGUCUGUCUGCCCUUGGUGAUGACGUUGAUGAAGUCGUGUGUCAAGACAAAGGGCUGUCUCUCCCUCCUGAUGCCAAACUUCUCUUUGAAGUGACCCAAGAUGUGUCCAAAAUCAAUGUGGAAGAGUUGUCCAUUCUUCAUAACCAUAAUGUUAUCAGAGUGACGGUCAGCAAUCCCCAAGACGUAGGUGGCCACACAGUAACCAGCACAGGAGAGAGUGAACUCAUGGAUUGCCUUGUUAAGCAGUGUCUCAGUAGGGUUGUGGUCCUUCAGCCAUGCUAGUGGGAGGAAAUCAGACAUGUAAGGUGACAGUAUAUUUUGUUGGUGUUACGAUUUGAAUUAUAAUUUCACUUUAUACAAAAUGUGCUCUUCUGAAUGAAGGGCCCAUUUCAUCUGGGUAUUUCUUUCUCCCUUUUAAAUAAUGCAUCCUAUAUUUCAUCCUGCUAAUAUAAAUAAUUAUUAAUUACCUACAUAAAUGUUUCUUUAUUCUAUUUUUAAUGCAGGCUAUUAUAAGACAAGAUGGGAAAUAUAGAAAUUAUUCAAACAUACAUAUAUAUAUAGCACUGGAAGGGAUGACACUGUAUGGGAGGAAUAAUCAAGUAGUUUUGUAUAGCACUGGAAGGGAUGACACUGUAUAGGAGAAAUAAUCAAGUAGUUUUGUACACCUGAGAAAAUGGAAUGCAUAUAUAUUUUUUUAUAGGCAAGGAAUCCUGCUAAAGUAUAUUCUGCAUUUGAGGAUUUAGUUUGUGAAGUUAGCUUGUUAAGUAUACAGACUUUUCAAUCAUACAUUCUGGAUUUUGAUUAGUUUAAAGUGUUUGUACUAUACCUGCUUUUAAUCCAGCAUGAUUUCAAAAUCAAGAAA